rnacentral:lncRNA from 1 species
UCGCACGCUCAGGGUGUGGGCCUCUGCCGGCUACUUUCCAAGAAGCAAUGAGACCUGCUUGGAAUUCUUAGUGGGAUUAUCUGGAAGUUGCUGGCAGAGGGGGUUGGGUGCUGGAGGAAGGAACAGGCAGAGAGAUCACGUGUCUCACCCUGUUCUGCAUUUCUUUCUUCUCUCCCUCUGUCUUUAGCUCCUUCAUUCUAUCCCUCCUUGGAAGAUGAAUAGCCACUUUGUAAACUGAAUUCCAUUUUACUGGGAUCUGUUUUGCAGGGAGACAGCAUUGCAUGGCGCUGACGUUGCCGCCAGGCUGUGCGGAGUCGAAUUCUUCACCACAUGCUGGCUGUGUGGGCUUAAACUCUUCGUGUCUCAGUUCCUUGACAGUAAAGGAGUGGAAUUGAGCAGUGUGAAAAUGAACCAAUACAAGUCCCGGCCAUCAUCUGAUCUAUUCUGAGGGAUCGGGGUUACCUGAGGGAUUGGGAGAUUCCUGAUGCUUUCACCAAGAGACUUGUUUCCAUCACUGUAAGAUGGGGUUGAUGAUCCCCACCAGGAAACUGUAAGCCCUGAAUGAAACGAGUUCUGCUAAGAUUUUUGGAACCUGAGAAACACCAUACAAUGUAAGAUGCUUAUACAUCGUCUGGCCAAGAAUUCUUUUUUGACUUUAGUGCAACAAUAAAGGACUCCAGCCAGGCGUGGUGGCUCACACCUGUAAUCCCAGCACUUUGGGAGGCCAAGGCAGGCAGACCAUGAGGUCAAGAGUUCAAGACCAGCGUGGCCAACAUGGUGAAACCCCGUUUCUACUAAAAAUACAAAAAUGAGCCAGGCACAGUGGUGUGUACCUGUAAUCCCAGCUACUCAAGAGGCUAAGGCAGGAGAAUCACUUGAACCUGGGAAGCACAGGUUGCAGUGAGCCGAGAUCGCACCACUGCACUCUAGCCUGGGCAACAGAACGAGACACGGUCUCAAAAAAUAAAUAAAUAAAUAAAUAAAGGAAUCCUGAUUGAAAGAGACCAGUGACCUAUUGAAGUGGUGCCUCUGGCUCAGUCGGCCUCAGUCUUCCGCUGGGACUCAGACCUGCUCCGGAAGUAAAAAAUGUUCCUGAUAUGUCAUCAACUCUGUCCUCUUUGUGCUUAAUUUGCAUUGACAACUGAAAAGUUAAGCAGAUGCAUCAUUGGGCCUCCUUGUUCAUUUUUUGCACUUCACUGUAAAAAACAAGAAAUGAUUAUAGAAAAAUGUAUAUAUCUGCUGGAAAACUCCUUUCUCCCCUC